rnacentral:rRNA from 1 species
CUCCUACGGGUGGCAGCAGUAAGGAAUAUUGGUCAAUGGACGCAAGUCUGAACCAGCCAUGCCGCGUGGAGGAUGAAGGCCCUCUGGGUUGUAAACUUCUUUUAUAUGGGACGAAAAAGGGUCUUUCUAGAUCAACUGACGGUACCAUGUGAAUAAGCACCGGCUAACUCCGUGCCAGCAGCCGCGGUAAUACGGAGGGUGCAAGCGUUAUCCGGAUUCACUGGGUUUAAAGGGUGCGUAGGUGGGUUGGUAAGUCAGUGGUGAAAUCUCCGAGCUUAACUUGGAAACUGCCAUUGAUACUAUCAGUCUUGAAUAUUGUGGAGGUCAGCGGAAUAUGUCAUGUAGCGGUGAAAUGCUUAGAUAUGACAUAGAACACCAAUUGCGAAGGCAGCUGGCUACGCAUAUAUUGACACUGAGGCACGAAAGCGUGGGGAUCAAACAGGAUUAGAUACCCUGGUAGUCCACGCCCUAAACUAUGGAUACUCGACGUGCGCGAUACACUGUGCGCGUCUGAGCGAAAGCAUUAA